AUGUACCACUCGUACACUCCGGUUCCUGUGCGCCGCCCGCACCCACCUGACGACUGCUCCCAGCACGGCAGCC
rnacentral:sRNA from 1 species